AUCUUAUCGGGCUUAAGUUCAGACGGUGAAAAUAUAUGUUCUUCGCUUCUCUUCCUUAAGUGGCGACAGUGACUAUCGAGCUUUCUCACCGUCCAUGAAACAGAUUGCGUUAUGGUUUUUACGUGAUUAAUCCCAUCGAUUGAAGCGCCCGUUAUUCAAUGCGUUGUUUGCGUCGGCAAGAUCUGUGAGGUCGGGUAUAAAUAGUCUGGCAAGUGUUCAUCUGUUGUCGAGGCUAGACUGCUGCGAUUCUGGGGGGCCAGGAACGUUAAGCGUGGUGGGGAGCUCAUGUGGCUUGAUUAAAGUUAUCCACCUUUCUUCAUGCUUUUCCCAAUUUUCAGUCAAGGCUUCUCCAAAGUUCCAUCUAUGUUCAUCGACUUAACACUUGCGAACAUUUGCUGAAAGCGGGAGCUGUUUACGAGCUCAAUGGGCUUGAUGUUACGAGAAGCAACCACCACUUCAAGUAUCACCAGUCGACAUACGCUUCACUGACCUAACUAAGUUUGUUGAGAUUCCGGUAGGACCUGCUCCAUUACCUCUGGAGCUCUUUAGGUUCAUGAACAACUCAUGGCAUUGGCAAACACAAAUACUGAAUUGCUAGGACUGUCUCUUAACUUAUAUUCAGAACAAAUCUAUAUGCCUCCCCAUAAAAAUGUCCAUACUCUGUUACACUUUCCUUGCAAACAUCAUAUGGCAUAAUGGCGACCAUCCAAAAUGACAGAUCUUCUACUGUCCGUCUAAGUGUCUUUGACGUGCAGGCCAGCCAACUUCACCAAAAGUUAGAUGGUGUCGGUGUAAAGCCUAAUGUCAUUAUCGCAACGAGCAUUAAUCCCAACACUUUGUAGGAGGUUGCUGAGUUUCUUUGCACAGUAAAAUAUAAGCCAUUGAAGCCACCAAUGGAUGGUACUACAUUUCCUGCUCCAAAUGUUCAAGGAAGCUUCAGUGAGAAUUCUGGUGUUCUUAAGUAUUGCCCCAUAGAUUUAAAUUACUCCUCACUUUUCAAAACACUAACCAAAUAAACCAUCUACCAUUUUUCCACUAACAUUUUAAAAUUCGCAAAUGUUGAAGGUAUUGUGUGGAGAUGUGUAUCUCAGAUGCGAUAGAGUCAGUCAGCUGUGUUUGAUCACCACCAGCUUCCCACUACUGAAAAUUUUGCAUUACAUGUUAACCUCCUCUUUCUCAUACUUUGUACUUAACAUAUUUUAAUAUGUUUAGACAAGGUGGGAACAACAUCCCAUGUGAUAUGCCAUGACCUACAUGUGUAUCUUGCGUCUGCUCUAAAAGACUCAAGUUAAGUGCAACUGAUCAGGCUAGCGGCAGUAGUGAACACAGCCACGCUUAAGGUGACCCUUAUGAUUAUAGUAUAUGAUGGAGAAAGACCGAGAUGAAAUAACAUAUGUAUAGACCAACCUGUAAUAACAUAUAUUACACAAAUACAAAUUCAAUAU